rnacentral:tRNA from 3 species
AUUUAAUAUGGCAGAUUAGUGCAAUGGAUUUAAAUUCCUUAUAUAAAGAAACCAACUCUUUUAUUAAAA